UAUGGUUGUGUGCCAGCCGCCGCGGUAAUACGUAGGGGGCAAGCGUUAUCCGGAUUUACUGGGUGUAAAGGGAGCGUAGACGGCAUGGCAAGCCAGAUGUGAAAGCCCGGGGCUCAACCCCGGGACUGCAUUUGGAACUGUCAGGCUAGAGUGUCGGAGAGGAAAGCGGAAUUCCUAGUGUAGCGGUGAAAUGCGUAGAUAUUAGGAGGAACACCAGUGGCGAAGGCGGCUUUCUGGACGAUGACUGACGUUGAGGCUCGAAAGCGUGGGGAGCAAACAGG
rnacentral:rRNA from 1 species